rnacentral:rRNA from 1 species
CAUGGCUCAGGAUGAACGCUAGCGGCAGGCCUAACACAUGCAAGUCGAGGGAUAAGCUUUCGGGCUGAAACCGGCGUACGGGUGCGUAACGCGUAUACAAUCUGCCUUUCACUGGGGGAUAGCCCGAAGAAAUUUGGAUUAAUACCCCAUAGAAUAAUGGUGUGGCAUCAUAUUAUUAUUAAAGCUACGGUGGUGAAAGAUGAGUAUGCGUUCUAUUAGCUAGUUGGAGAGGUAACGGCUCCCCAAGGCGACGAUAGAUAGGGGUUCUGAGAGGGAUGUCCCCCACACUGGUACUGAGAUACGGACCAGACUCCUACGG